CCUACGGGUGGCAGCAGUAGGGAAUCUUCCGCAAUGGACGAAAGUCUAACGGAGCAACGCCGCGUGAGCGAUGAAGGUCUUCGGAUCGUAAAGCUCUGUUGUUAGGGAAGAACAAGUACCGGAGUAACUGUCGGUACCUUGACGGUACCUAACCAGAAAGCCACGGCUAACUACGUGCCAGCAGCCGCGGUAAUACGUAGGGCAAGCGUUGUCCGGAAUUAUUGGGCGUAAAGCGCGCGUAGGCGGUCCUUUAAGUCUGAUGUGAAAUCUUGCGGCUCAACCGCAAGCGGUCAUCGGAAACUGGGGGACUUGAGUGCAGGAGAGGAAAGCGGAAUUCCAUGUGUAGCGGUGAAAUGCGUAGAGACAUGGAGGAACACCAGUGGCGAAGGCGGCUUUCUGGCCUGUAACUGACGCUGAGGCGCGAAAGCGUGGGGAGCAAACAGGAUUAGAUACCCGCGUAGUC
rnacentral:rRNA from 1 species